UACGGGGGGAGCAAGCGUUGUUCGGAUUUACUGGGCGUAAAGGGCUCGUAGGCGGCCAACUAAGUCAGACGUGAAAUCCCUCAGCUUAACUGGGGAACUGCGUGUGAUACUGGAUGGCUUGGAUUUGGGAGAGGGAUGCGGAAUUCCAGGUGUAGCGGUGAAAUGCGUAGAUAUCUGGAGGAACACCGGUGGCGAAGGCGGCAUCCUGGACCAAUAUUGACGCUGAGGAGCGAAAGCCAGGGGAGCAAAGCGGG
rnacentral:rRNA from 1 species